rnacentral:rRNA from 1 species
AUUGAACGCUGGCGGCAGGCCUAACACAUGCACGUCGAGCGGAGCGGCGGACGGGUGAGUAAUGCCUAGGAAUCUGCCUGGUAGUGGGGGAUAACGUCCGGAAACGGGCGCUAAUACCGCAUACUAUCAGAUGAGCCUAGGUCGGAUUAGCUAGUGGGUGGGGUAAAGGCCUACCAAGGCGACGAUCCGUAACUGGUCGGAGAGGAUGAUCAGUCACACUGGAACUGAUACACGGUCCAGACGCGGACGGGAGGCAUAAGUGGGGAAUAUUGGACAAUGGGCGAAAGCCUGAGCCAGCCAUGCCGCGUGGUUGAAGAAGGUCUUCGGAGUGUAAAGCACUUUAAGUUGGGAGGCGGUACCAACAGAAUAAGCACCGGCUAACUUCGUGCCAGCCGCCGCGGUAAUAC